rnacentral:rRNA from 1 species
ACCUUCGGGCCUCUUGCCAUCAGAUGUGCCCAGAUGGGAUUAGCUUGUUGGUGAGGUAACGGCUCACCAAGGCGACGAUCCCUAGCUGGUCUGAGAGGAUGACCAGCCACACUGGAACUGAGACACGGUCCAGACUCCUACGGGAGGCAGCAGUGGGGAAUAUUGCACAAUGGGCGCAAGCCUGAUGCAGCCAUGCCGCGUGUAUGAAGAAGGCCUUCGGGUUGUAAAGUACUUUCAGCGGGGAGGAAGGUGUUGUGGUUAAUAACCGCAGCAAUUGACGUUACCCGCAGAAGAAGCACCGGCUAACUCCGUGCCAGCAGCCGCGGUAAUACGGAGGGUGCAAGCGUUAAUCGGAAUUACUGGGCGUAAAGCGCACGCAGGCGGUCUGUCAAGUCGGAUGUGAAAUCCCCGGGCUCAACCUGGGAACUGCAUUCGAAACUGGCAGGCUUGAGUCUUGUAGAGGGGGGUAGAAUUCCAGGUGUAGCGGUGAAAUGCGUAGAGAUCUGGAGGAAUACCGGUGGCGAAGGCGGCCCCCUGGACAAAGACUGACGCUCAGGUGCGAAAGCGUGGGGAGCAAACAGGAUUAGAUACCCUGGUAGUCCACGCCGUAAACGAUGUCUACUUGGAGGUUGUGCCCUUGAGGCGUGGCUUCCGGAGCUAACGCGUUAAGUAGACCGCCUGGGGAGUACGGCCGCAAGGUUAAAACUCAAAUGAAUUGACGGGGGCCCGCACAAGCGGUGGAGCAUGUGGUUUAAUUCGAUGCAACGCGAAGAACCUUACCUGGUCUUGACAUCCACAGAACUUUCCAGAGAUGGAUUGGUGCCUUCGGGAACUGUGAGACAGGUGCUGCAUGGCUGUCGUCAGCUCGUGUUGUGAAAUGUUGGGUUAAGUCCCGCAACGAGCGCAACCCUUAUCCUUUGUUGCCAGCGGUCCGGCCGGGAACUCAAAGGAGACUGCCAGUGAUAAACUGGAGGAAGGUGGGGAUGACGUCAAGUCAUCAUGGCCCUUACGACCAGGGCUACACACGUGCUACAAUGGCGCAUACAAAGAGAAGCGACCUCGCGAGAGCAAGCGGACCUCAUAAAGUGCGUCGUAGUCCGGAUUGGAGUCUGCAACUCGACUCCAUGAAGUCGGAAUCGCUAGUAAUCGUGGAUCAGAAUGCCACGGUGAAUACGUUCCCGGGCCUUGUACACACCGCCCGUCACACCAUGGGAGUGGGUUGCAAAAGAAGUAGGUAGCUUAACCUUCGGGAGGGCGCUUACCACUUUGUGAUUCAUGACUGGGGUGAAGUCGUAACAAGGUAACCGUAGGGGAACCUGCGGUUGGAUCACCUCCUUACCUUAAAGAAGC